rnacentral:rRNA from 1 species
GACGAACGCUGGCGGCGCGCUUAACACAUGCAAGUCGAACGGAAAGGCCUGCUUUCCCUUGUGGAUUGCGGGUACUCGAGUGGCGAACGGGUGAGUAACACGUGAGUGAUCUGCCCCCAACUUGGGUAUAAGCCUGGGAAACUGGGUCUAAUUCCCGAUAGGACUGCAGGGUGGUGCCUGUGGUGGAAAACGAUUUUCUAGUGGUUGGGGAUGAGCUCGCGGCCUAUCAGCUUGUUGGUGGGGUAAUGGCCUACCAAGGCGGCGACGGGUAGCCGGCCUGAGAGGGUGGACGGCCACAUUGGGACUGGGAUACGGCCCAGACUCCUACGGGAGGCAGCAGUUGGGAAUAUUGCACCAUGGGCGGAAGCCUGAUGCAGCGACGCCGCGUGGGGGAUGACGGCCUUCGGGUUGUAAACUCCUUUCGACCGCGAGGAAGCCACCUGGUUGGAAGGGUGGUGACGGUAGUGGUAGAAGAAGCACCGGCUAACUACGUG